CCGAAAAAUACGAACAAAGCUCAGCGGAGCCGCCGCAGCUAAAACUCCAAAACUCCUCUGAUGAGCCCCUUUCUGAUUCUCGUUUUACGUAAUUUUUUAAUUAUUGUGCUCACAUUCCUUUUCUGUACAGGGUAGUCGAAAAAAGAAUCUCAACCACGGAGGAGUAUCGGCAGAGCUGCCACACCAGGAGGUCUCCCCACUGGUAGAUUCGGUUUUCUUUUUAGAUUUUUCAGCCAACCGAGGCCCCUAAUGUAUUUUUCUAUAGGAAUA
rnacentral:lncRNA from 1 species